rnacentral:misc_RNA from 1 species
UUUUGCUGGCUUUAUCAAGCCGACUCCCUUUAAAUGCAUUAGUGGUUGCUUCAUUCACUAGAGUGUGAUAGUAUAUCUACGCUUGUUACAGUGAACUGAUAUAGAUCAUCUGCUUUCCAACUGUCUUGAAAAAGACACUUUUGACUAUUUGACCUCAAAUCAGGUAGGACUACCCGCUGAACUUAAGCAUAUCAAUAAGCGGAGGAAAAGAAACUAACAAGGAUUCCCCUAGUAACUGCGAGUGAAGCGGGAAGAGCUCAAAUU